rnacentral:rRNA from 1 species
CCUACGGGUGGCAGCAGUGAGGAAUAUUGGUCAAUGGUCGAGAGUCUGAACCAGCCAAGUCGCGUGAAGGAUGACGGUACAGAGUAUCGUAAACUUCUUUUGUCAGGGAAUAAAGCCAGGCACGUGUCCCCGGUUGAGUGUACUUUAUGAAUAAGCAUCGGCUAACUCCGUGCCAGCAGCCGCGGUAAUACGGAGGAUCCGAGCGUUAUCCGGAUUUAUUGGGUUUAAAGGGAGCGUAGAGGGGCUGUUAAGUCAGUGGUGAAGUUCGGGGGUCAAACCCAGAACCGCCGUUGAAACUGGCAGUCUUGAGUUGGAGUGAAGUAGGCGGAAUGCGCGGUGUAGCGGUGAAAUGCAUAGAUAGCGCGAAGAACCCCGAUUGCGAAGGCAGCAUGC